UGGGUUAGGAUUAGGAGUAGGGUUAGGGCUGGGUUAGGAGUAGGGUUAGGAGUAGGGUUGGGUUAGGGUUAGGAGUAGGGUUAAAGUUGGCUAACCCUACUCUUAACCCAACCCUAACCCUACUCCUUACCCAACCAUACCCUACCCUAGCCCAACCCUUUCCCUACUCCUAACCCUACUGCUAACCUAACCCUAACACUACUCCUAACCUUUUCCUUAGCCCUA